UUAAAUGAUUUAUUAAUUUAUUUAAACUGCUCCUUAAACCUUUUCAAACUUAAUGUAAUGUGCUGAAUCCAUAGUAACAGCAUGAAUACCUAACAGCAUAAGAAAGUUAAGAUAGAAAAUGAACAAUUCAGCUGUCAAUAACAUACUAUUUGAUUACCAAGCUUUCCUAAGCAUAUCCUUCAAACUUGUGUGUUUUAUUUUUGUUGUAUGAUUAUCUGAGGAAUAUCUUCCAUGAGAGUUUUUUGAUAUAAAAUCAGAUCAAUAUAAAGCACUUAGAUUAAUUUUCUGUAUAUAUUACCUGAUCCUUUCUGAAAACUGGAUGCUUGAGUUGGCACAUUUUGCCUCUAGACGUUCCAAUUUGAAUAUGUAAGAUUCUGCCCCUUCUCUCUGAUUCUGGGAAUGCAUAAUUUCCAAAGCUGCUCAAGAGCUCAGAAAGAUGCAACUAAAUUGUUUGUUCUGAAUAUUCAGUAUAUUUAGAAAAAUCUGUUUCAUCCCUAUUCCCCAAAUUUUCAUCCUUUUUUUAAUUGGCGGCGGGGGGGGAAGUCAUGACAAGAUGAAGCUUUUAACGUAAACCUGAAAUAAAAAAAAUGUAUUUUUUAAAGCAUAAGAUGCUCUGUAAAGCACUUUAAUAUUUUUCCUGAUUAGUGUAUUCAUUACUACUGUUGUAGCUAAUUACUUGCAAUACUACUUCAUGUCUAUGGCUCAAAAUACUGAAUUCUGAAAUAGUUUGUGCUUGAUUCCAGUGGCAGGUCAUUGUCUGGGAAUGAGAUUUUCAGGUAUAGCUUUCCUCACAGGUUCUCAUCUAUUGCCACCUGCCUAAAUCUGACAGUUGAGCACCAGCUGGGAGUUUUGACCCGGAGAAGCAUAAAAGGGCUGGAGAGAGACAAAAUGAUCCAUCAAGUCCUACUUUGAGACUACUUGAGUAUCUGUUUACAUUACACUUGUGCUUGCUGUAUUAAUGCCCUGCUUCAGAAUUGCUAUUUACCUGUAGGACUGGGGAAGGAAUUUCCCUUCCUUGGCUUCUGAAAGGUUUUCAGCAAUUGUGUGAAAAUCAGCUCAGAACUUCUUUUUGUUCCUGUGGAUGCUAUCAGCACUUGGAGACCAGGGCCUCCAUGGAGAGGGAAGGGAAUGCCAAAGCAAUGCAGGCUCGUAGUUUAACUCACUGGCAUGUGUAAGAUCAAAAGAGGAGGAAAAAUUUUCUUCCUUUCAGGUAAAUUGGGGUGUGUCACCCUAUUGAUACUCUGAGAGUAUGUUGUGUAGAGUUUAGGAGCUUUUAGUAUUGGGUUGCGGCUGGGUUUUUUGGUUUUGUUGUUUGGUUUUGGGUGUGUUGUCAUUGUAGUGCUUGGUAUAAAGGUGGUUUCUUGAUUUAUUUUCUCUAUGCAAAUUACUGGGUGUAAAGGCAAAGUAUUAAAAUAUCCUCUUCACUUUGAUAUUGAUACAGCUCUUGGAUCUUUCUCUCUUCCAGGGUAAAUAAAGAUAACAGUGUGGAGUAGACUUCCCAAAAUUCAAGAAUAUUUGGACCUUGUGUUCUGUUCUAAGCCUCUCUUGAGCAAACAUGCUUCCCUUUCUAAAUUAUUUUGCUGAGUGUUAUGGCUGGAAGAUUCAUAUAACAGAAUCUUGAGGUGACCUGACAAGACAAAUCUGGUGAAAUAUUAAAGUUUGUUUUCUAAAGAUUUAAACAGAUGUGUACCUAUAACAAUCUGUCAUAAAACCAUGCCUUUUGAAUGUUUAUUUUGUGUAUUUUAUGGUUUCUUCUAUGGAAUAAAGUAGCAUUGUGCAUUAGGAUCAGAGGGGCAUUUCCCAUAGUUCGGUGGUAUCUCAGUAGCAAGUAGAAAUUUUACAGAUGUAGAUUGUAUAAGUGUAUAUAGAAUCAUAGAAUCAACUAGGUUGGGAAAGACCUUUA